CAGUGUAAUGUGUUAUUCCUCAGAUAACUGAAAAGUUGUACUGAAAUAAGAAUAGCGGCAUUUUUAUUUGCGACUGUUUUACUAACAGUCCAUUACUGGAUGAUUCCUUUCAGAAUUUGGGAGUAGCCUGACCACAGAUUGGUUCCACAGCACCAGUGAAUGCCACUGGGGACUUCCCAUCUAAUUUUAGGAAGAAACCUGCCUCUGCAAAGGGGAAAGUACAAAGUGACAGACAAGAUCAGAAAAUCUUCUCUUCUGGUGGUCAUGGUGAGUUACUGAGUCAAUUUGAACCAUGAGUCAAUACUCUAAGACUUUAAAGCAACAGUGGAGAAUCCCAAGAGCUAAGAUU
rnacentral:lncRNA from 1 species